rnacentral:lncRNA from 1 species
GGGAUGAGGAGAGGCAAUGUGGCAUGGUGGUUAAGCACGUGGACUUGGAGCCAGACGGCCUGGGGCUGAAUCCUGGCUCUGCCUCUCACCAACUGUGACCUUGGGCAAGGAAGCUGGUUCAGUGGGGCUGUCGACCACAGGUACCAACCCUGCCCUCCCCUACAGAGUAUGUGACACAGGCACAGCCAAUCACUGCAUCCCAGUGCUUGGACCAGUCACAGUGUCAAGGAAGUUCUGAGGGUACCCCUCACUCAAGCUCCAGGCGUCAGGAAAAGAACAUUCCACGAAGUCCAUCUGGAAGACGGUCCUUUCCCUGCUGCCCCCAGCUUCUAGAACAUUCCCUGGAACACAGCAAGUGUUCAGUUAUUGUUCAUGGAGUGACAGAUGUCUCAGCCAAGAAGGCUCAGCUUAGGGACCGUCACCUCCAGGAAGCCUUCCCAACCUGCACUGAUCAUUUCUUCUUCUUCUCUUUGGGAUUAUCACUUGUAUUGUAAUCAAACCUUGUUUUUUUCUUUAAAAAAUAUUAUUUGCAUUCAGUAAAAUUCACCCUUUUUGACAUACAGUUCUGAGGUUUUUUUUAGUUCUAUAAGUUUUGUCAAAUGUGUAAAGUUGUAGUCUCCAACACAAUCAAAAUAUAAAACAAUUUCCUCGCCCCUCCCCAGUUCCCUUAUGCUCUUUCGUAUCCAACACUUCUUCCCACUCUAGCCCCUGGCAACCACGGAUUUGCUUUCUGUCUGUACAACACUGCCUCUUCCAGAAUGUCAUAUAUAAAAUCACGCUGUUUAUAACCUUUA